AUGAUCUUUUUUCCCUGGUUUUCAUAUGAGCCCUUCACUAAGCGGCAGGUUUUGAAUGGUAUUCUGCAUAUGGUAAAACCAUAUUCCUGUGCUGCUUAAUUAUAUGCUUUCAAUUUAUUUUCUCUGACUCUGCAGGCAAGUGCAUUACUGUGUGUUGUUACAUAAUACCCAGCCAUGUGGAAAAGGAACAGACACACCUUUGGCAAGUGACUGCAGAAGUCUCCAAAGGUUUUCACCCAUGUUUUCACAGAUGUCCUCUUAGAACCCAUCUAAUCCUCCACAUCAAGGUUUUAUAGAUUAUUUGCACUCACUGGGGCUGGUGCAGUAUGAAGCCAAGCAUGCAAAGACUGCCAGCUGGCCAGAAUAUUUGAUAAAUGUGAGAACAAAAAAAAUCCCACUCAUAGCAGCGAAAUGAUCUAUUCCUGGAACACCAGCUGGAUUGCUGUAAUAAGCUAUUAAACCAGUGUGGUAAAAUGAAACCCAGAUACACUAUGCAGAUUAUAUAGCAAGUCUAUUUCCUUGUAUAGCUUGGUUUCAUUGCUUUAAUUUUAGAUUAUUGGUCACUUGCAAUGAUUAAAAGAUAUGGAAAAACUUGGCCUUUUUAUUCAUGAGUUUUGAACUAGAAAGCCCCAAAUUAAAACUAUAUAGGAUUGUGCGCCUGGCACCUUUAACUAUCUGCUUCCAUUUCCAAUGACUCAGUGUGGCAGACUCUCUGGCAGACUUAUUUUACUAAGAAACUGUAUCUCAGACCUGGAAAUGAGAUAAGUACUUAUAAAAAACAUUCUCAGAAAAACAAAAUCUCAAAUGCACUCCAAUGUAACACAAUAUUUCUUCUUACAUUAAAGAAUAAUUUAAAUAUCUAAAAGGGGAUGAAGAUUGAUAUCGAUGGCCAUGUGUAAUAGCACCAUCUUGUGAUCCUUGCCAAAAAAAAUAUUUUAUAUUUUAAUUGAAAACUCCACUCUCUACUAACUCAGGCAUUCUUAUUUUUCUGAGUUCAUAAUUAGCUUGGAUGUGAUAUAUGACAAUAAACUAAAAAUUCAACUAUAAACAUGACCCUAAUGGAAAUUAGUUGAAUGCCACAUUAAAGAACGAGCUAGGUUGAGAUAUGUGGGUUUUGUUUACAUUAUUUUACUUACUGGUUAAAAAAGGAGAAGUAGAACACCAAAGAUAGUUCUUCUAUCAUAAAAGAAUAAACAAGACAAGUAAACAAGCUUUUCUUGUUAGAUGUACUAUUUCUUCUCAUCAAAUCAUAUUGCAAAGGAUGCCUAAGAAGAGUAUCGCCAUCAGUAAAAGUAUCCUGAUUAAAUGUCUCAAUAGUUCUGUCUUUCAGUUACACACAACCAGGACUUUGGGCUGUUGAUAUUUUGGUACUGUGAAGACUCAGACUAUAGCACUGCUGAUCUGAGGAUCACCAUCCGGACUGAUGCUUAUUAUGUCUAUACGAACUCCAGAUGAAAUGGGGUGAAACAAAUAUCUGAUGGUAAUAACAGAAAGCAACCACAUCACAUUUCCAAAUAAGAAAGGAAUGGUGCAUGAAGGGGUAGUUGUACAUAUGUUUAUAUGUUAUGUCCAAGCUAUUCAGAUAUACAUACUGACCUAUCUCAGAUGAUGCAGUCUUCAGUAAUUUUAAGUGAUAGUUACAGGCAAAGUGGCGUCACCAACAGGAAAAGCAAGCAGGAUACAGAUAAUUUCCUUACUACACCUGGUUAUCUUCCUGAGUAUGGGUAUGGAAAGUGGCAAGCAGAACGCUUCUUUGAUUCUGGGUUAUCGAUCUGGUGCAUUUGCUUUGUAAGACUGUCAGCCUUUAACGGUGUCAAAGUUAGUAUUUCAUACAUAAGCCUUAUUUUGGCAUCUGAAGCAGUUGAAUUCAGUGGAUUUGCGAAUGCUAAAUAUUUGGUAAAAGCCAGCUGGUAAAAGCUGCAGGAAGAUCACUCCAGCCUUCAUCUCUGAUGAAGAUUUUGGUGAGAUUAAUUAGAAAUGAGGAAGGCUGAAUUUUGAGUGAAAGUUCUCUGUUUGACAUUUCAAAUACAGAAGAUACUCAGACAAAUACCAUGAGGGAUUUAUUUAUUGUGUACUUUGUUUCCACCAAUAACUGAUAGGUCACACCUUUACUAACAGACACAGAAACAGACCAUUAUUUUCAGUGGGGACAGACAGUUCCUCUGGGUUACUGACCAGCUACAGAGUCCAUGUCGUAAGCCUUUCUAAGCCUUCUCAAUUGCAUUGGCAAGGAAGGAAUUUACUUUUUGUUAAAAAAAUGCUGAUUUGCUAGCUUGGUAAAUUAAAGCCAUUCAUCUGUUACAGCUGCCUAUAACAUAAAUCAAAAGCAUUAUUUAUAUGUAUUAACCUGGGGACCUGACCAGCCGGGGAGAACGCUUUGUAGAGAUGGCAUUUAUCCCUGUAGAAGUCUUCCAUCCAGUCGAAGCAGGCUAUGUUUAGCUCAGGUUAAUAAGAUUUCAAUUUUACCUGAUGCAAAGAGAUUUGGGGAGGGAUGGAGGGAGGUUUGCUGAAGCUACUUCAUUAUGAAUUUCUAAAGAAAGGCAAAUCUGGCCUUUGAGAAAUACAAAAUACUCUAUAUGUUUUUUCUUUGUGUUAAAGAUUUCAAUUAAAUUGCCAGGCACUUUUUUUAUUUCCUCUUUAGGUUGAGAUGAUUGCAGCCACUGGAUAUACCUUCCUGCUCUGGCCUUUGGCACAGACAAUCUGUGUUUGGUUAGUGCUUGCAAAUAAUGGAAUGAGCAUUUACAAAUGUUACAAAUAAGGUUUUGUAACUAACAAAAAAUGAAAAAAGCAGUCUGUUGCAUUACAAAUGUUAAUGUGUACAUUAUAUGGUCAAUGCUCACAUACAUAAGGUAAGUGUUAAAACACAGGAAUCUUCUAUUGUUUGUACAGAUGGUUAGUAUCUCAAGGUGGGCUCUACAAAGGGCACAGACUAUUUAGCAGGGUCUGCUGUGGCAGGACAAGGGGAAAUGGUUUCAAACUGAAUAGUGGGAAAUUUCAUUUGGAUAUAAGGAAGAAGUUUUUUACAGUAAAGGUGGUAAGACACUGGAACAGGCUGACCAGAGAUUUAGAGGAUGCCCCAUCCCUGGAGACACUCAAGGUCAGGCUGUAUGGGGCUCUGAGCAAUCUGCUCUAGCUGUAGGUGUCCCUGUUUGUUGCAGGGGAGUUGGACUUGUGCUUUAAGUGUUCCUUCCAACUCAAAUGGUUCUAUGAUUCUAUGACUCUACGAAGGUAGCGUGGGUCUCAUUCUGCUGCCUGACAUAGUGUUUUUCAUGAUACUCAGUAGAAGUUACUGAUAUAAAUUAAUGUGUUGAAAAACUCAUACUUACAUUUAUUGAUAGCUGAUGUGUUUUUUUGGUAUUUGGCAUCCUUUUAUGGUUCAGGCAUGGCCUGAACUAGCUCAAGUCCUGAAGUGCUGCUGCCACAGGAGCAUGGCUCUGAGCCUGCACUAACAAGCUCUGCUUCCUGGAGACCCGUGAUGUGUCCUGAGCAGAAGACAGUGCUCAGUGGAAAUUACAGCUUGGGCUAAUUCUAAUUUGAUGACCUCUGCACUUUUUUGUGAGGCCCACAGAAAGCCUGUCUGAAGAGUUUGUGAACAUGUUUCAAUGCACAAGUACUUCAGAUUUCCUCAGAGUAGGCAUCUGUACUCAUCAGACUGGCAUCGAUACCUGGCAAUCACUUGUGGUACAUAUGGUGCACCAUUUUACAGCUUCUGGAUUCCCACUGUAGGCAAACUGAAGCCAUCCUUACACUGUAGGGCAAUAAGGAAAGAAAGAAAAUGCUGUCAUCUGAUCACCAACUCUACUAGCAAUAGAAGGUAAUUGCCCACAGAAAGUUACUGUAAACCUAUGUUUGAAUUCUGGACAGGAAUAUGAAGAAAAUUUAAGUCAACAAGAAAAUGCUACACGUCCGUUGAGAUAAAAAUUGGUUAAAAGACAUCCGAGAGUAAACAUUUAAAUUUGCACUUGAUCUGACCUGUUUACUGUUACACUUUCUACUACUAUUUCAGUCAAUUACUGCAAUUAUUCAGUGAAAAACAGAUUCAUUAACUGUGUUCCAUAAAUAAAAUCAAGCUAAGCUUAUUUUCUAAUCACUGAUCAUUGUUUUUAAACUUGCAGGGUGGAGAUGAAUACAUUAAAUAUCAGUGCUCUGUGUUUAUCAAGCUAUACUUAUCACUUUUCAUUUAAGCCUAGUGUCACAUUAUGAAAUUAAAUCACUCUCUAUCACAAGCCUAUAAAAGAACUAAAAAUUGGAAAUAUGCAAAACAGUUCAGCAGGAUGGAGACAGGACAGGAAUAUUUUCUGGUUCGAGCCAGAAAUGAAUAGCUGCUAUAAUACUUAAGUUACACAGCUGCAUGAAGGAUCUUUAAUGGACUGUCCGUGAUCAGAUCUACCCUCAGCUCAGCAGCUGAGAACAGUGAAUCUGUGUCUUAUGUAGCCAUUACUGGCAGUAGCCCAGUUAGAAAAGCAUGGAAUACCUGAUGCUUUAUAUCUGCUAAUAUAAGUACUCGUAUGGAGCAAAGUUAAUGCAAGUUUGUGUUUUCUGACAGCAAUUUUUUGCUUAGUUAUUAGAAUCAGUGGUGAGCAAAAAAAUCAUUCAUUAAGGAAAGUUUUGUAUAAAUAGUUCCUGUAGGAAGUAAAUUAGCUGCCAUGACUAUAAGAAUAUAGACACCUAAGAAACUCUUGCUCUCUGGGAGAACAACAUUCUACUCACUUUUCCAAGUACUGAAAAAAAAUCUUUGCAAAAUCAGUCAGUACUCUGUAAAAGAUAGCUUAGAUGCCUUUCUGUGGCUACAUUCUUUGGACUCAGCCAAAAUUUGAGUUUUUGCAGGCUACUCUGAGCCUGCAAAACUGACCAAAAUGUCAUUGGAGUAGCAUAUUUCUAAAGACAGUUUAGAAUUUCUGCCAUUUCAAAGGAAAAAAACCCUAUUGUCAACAUUUCAGCUGUCAGUAGCCUGUAACUGAUAUCAUGAGCUAAAAGCAGACUUCCUGG